rnacentral:tRNA from 1 species
AUAAAUAUAGCUUAAUAUAAAGCAAUGGUUUGUAAAACCUUUUAUGUACUUUACUAUUUAUA